GGUGGGGAUUCUUCGGAACCUGCCGCUUUGAGAGGUGCCCGCGUGCCAUCAGCUUGUUGGUAGGGUAACGGCCUACCAAGGCUUACGGCUAGCCGGCCUGAGAGGGUGACCGGCCACACUGGGACUGAGACACCGCCCAGACUCCUACGGGAGGCUGCAGUCGAGGAUCAUUCGCAAUGCGCGAAAGCGUGACGAUGCGACGCUGCGUGGAGGAUGAAGGCCUUCGGGUCGUAAACUCCUGUCAUGAGGGAAAAGUAUCCCUGCAAUUAAUAGUUGCGGGGCUCGAUGGUACCUCAAGAGGAAGCCACGGCUAACUCUGUGCCAGCAGCCGCGGUAAUACAGAGGAGGCGAGCGUUGUUCGGAUUUACUGGGCGUAAAGGGUGCGUAGGUGGUUUUGUAUGUCGGAUGUGAAAGCCCAUGGCUCAACUGUGGAAUUGCAUUCGAAACUGCAAAACUUGAGUGCAGGAGGGGAGAGAAAUUCUUGGUGUAGCGGUGAAAUGCGUUGAUAUCAAGAAGAACACCGGUGGCGAAGGCGGCUCUCUGGAAUGUUACUGACACUGAGGCACGAAAGCUGGGGGAGCAAACAGGAUUAGAUACCCUGGUAGUCCCAGCUGUAAACGGUGCACACUUGGUGUGGGGAGAUUUGACCCUCUCCGUGCCGGAGCUAACGCGUUAAGUGUGCCGCCUGGGGAGUACGGCCGCAAGGCUAAAACUCAAAGAAAUUGACGGGGGCCCGCACAAGCGGAGGAGCAUGUGGCUUAAUUCGAUGCAACGCGAAGAACCUUACCAGGGCUUGACAUAUACCUGCACGCCCCGUGAAAGCGGGGAAGCUUUCGAAGGUGGUAUACAGGUGCUGCAUGGCUGUCGUCAGUUCGUGCCGUGAGGUGUUGGGUUAAGUCCCGCAACGAACGCAACCCCUGUGGUUAGUUGCCACCGCCGGUGAUGAGCCGGCGAGCACUCUAGCCAGACUGCCCGUACAAGCGGGAGGAAGGUGGGGACGACGUCAAGUCAGUAUGGCCCUUACGCCCUGGGCUGCACACGUGCUACAAUGGCCGGCACAGAAGGAAGCAAUACCGCGAGGUGGAGCAAAUCCCCAAAGCCGGCCCCAGUUCGGAUUGGAGUCUGCAACUCGACUCCAUGAAGUUGGAUUCGCUAGUAACGGCGUAUCAGCUACGACGCCGUGAAUACGUUCCCGGGCCUUGUACACACCGCCCGUCACAUCAUGAAAGCCGUCUGCACCCGAAGUCGCUGAGCCAACCC
rnacentral:rRNA from 1 species